AAUUAACCAAACGGCGGAGACUGCGGAAACCUUGUGCUGCCCACAGAGCAAGAAGGUCUACACAGAAACUGCGAUAUCUGAAAUGACAAAAAAACCCAUCAUUAACACACCGACAUACGAACAAGAAUGCACAAUGCCUUCUAUAAAGCGAGGGAUAAUUUAGUCAGGAGGAACCCCUGUCCAAAUUAACACGCCAUAAUUGGAAAUUCUUAUAUAUAACGAGAAAUCAUAACAGACUUCUUAAAUCAGCCACCAUCGCAUCGCCACUGCCACCAACCGCCGGUCGUUUAACACUGAUCGCCAUUGGUACCUCAUACCUCCAUCCACAUCUCACAAAUUUUACAUACAAAUUGAAGCUAAUAUAAACUGAAAUUUGCGUAAAUUUUAGUAGUUUUCCUUUUCAUUUUGGCAUGCUUUGGUUGAUUAAUUAGGGUUUAGAAACUAAUUAGGAAAUGGCGAAGCUGAGAUACUCAAGGAUACAAGUGAGGAAAUGGUCGACAUUGUCGAUGGUAUUGAAGAUGCUAUUUAUGCUAACGGUGAUUCUGUUGAUGCUAUUGGGUCUUGGGAUUUUCUCCCUUCCCAUAAGCAGCGACGAUGCCGCUCCCAAUGAUCUCACUACUUCGUACAGACGUCUGGCCGUUGAAAGAGAUGAUAAUGGUUUGGGAAAGAGAGGAGAGCAGUGGACUGAA
rnacentral:misc_RNA from 1 species